rnacentral:rRNA from 1 species
UGGGGAAUAUUGCACAAUGGGCGCAAGCCUGAUGCAGCCAUGCCGCGUGUAUGAAGAAGGCCUUCGGGUUGUGAAGUACUUUCAGCGGGGAGGAAGGGAGUAAAGUUAAUACCUUUGCUCAUUGACGUUACCCGCAGAAGAAGCACCGGCUAACUCCGUGCCAGCAGCCGCGGUAAUACGGAGGGUGCAAGCGUUAAUCGGAAUUACUGGGCGUAAAGCGCACGCAGGCGGUUUGUUAAGUCAGAUGUGAAAUCCCCGGGCUCAACCUGGGAACUGCAUCUGAUACUGGCAAGCUUGAGUCUCGUAGAGGGGGGUAGAAUUCCAGGUGUAGCGGUGAAAUGCGUAGAGAUCUGGAAGAAUACCGGUGGCGAAGGCGGCCCCCUGGACGAAGACUGACGCUCAGGUGCGAAAGCGUGGGGAGCAAACAGG